UACGUAGGGUGCGAGCGUUGUCCGGAAUUAUUGGGCGUAAAGAGCUUGUAGGCGGUUUGUCGCGUCUGCUGUGAAAAUCCGGAGCUCAACCCCGGACUUGCAGUGGGUACGGGCAGACUAGAGUGUGGUAGGGGAGACUGGAAUUCCUGGUGUAGCGGUGAAAUGCGCAGAUAUCAGGAGGAACACCGAUGGCGAAGGCAGGUCUCUGGGCCACUACUGACGCUGAGAAGCGAAAGCAUGGGGAGCGAACAGG
rnacentral:rRNA from 1 species